ACACAUAGCAAGAGGAAUUUUGCAGUGCGAGUUUAACUGUUGAAAUGGUGAAGUGCGCUGUUAUUAAUUAUAGGAAUUACGAAGGCGAUAAACUGUCCUUUGCAAAGUUAAAAUACUUUUGGUUUCCGCGCGAAGAAAAAUUGAAAUUGGCAUGGUUGAAAGCUUGUGGCAGAGAUCCAGGUGCAAAGCAGCAUAUGAAAAUAUGUUCGGAACAUUUCCUGGAGCGGGAUUACAAGCUGCAGAAUAUUCUUCUAAACACGGAAAUUUCAAAGCGAAAAUUGAAACCAGGUGCAAUCCCCAGCGUCAACUUACCACCGAAGGGUAAAAUUCCUGCGUUACCUUUUCAUGAAACAUCGAAGGGAAACAUACGUGCUGCAGAAGUGUGUCCUGUGAAUGGUACCACGGUGUUCAAUCGGGAAGAUAUUGCUGUCCAAUCAUCGAGCGCUCGGAAGGAUGGUGCAGUAUAAUCAUCAAAUCCGACUAUUUUCCAUGAUGUUUGCGUUCAGUCCAGUAUUUGUACCAAGACAAAGGCUGUUCAAACGGGGUAAUUAACUGAUCAGUUUAUUUUAUUGACAUUUGUUUUGCAUUUGCAAACAUUUCUUUUUGCAAAAGACUGGAGAGUUAUCUGCGAAGGCAAAAUUUGGAAUUGAAGAUCAAGUUAGAUACUGAAAAGCGAAAAUAUAAGGUGUACGUUUCCCAGCUUCAGAAGUCGCAAACAUUAAGUUGUAAUGUUUCGAAGAUAUUUUCGAAUGGGCAGCUGCGAAAAUUGAGAGACCCUCAUCAGCGACGGGUAAAAUGGACAUCUGAUGAUAUAUCCCGUGCAAUUUCUUUACAUGCUACUGGAGCCAAAGCAUAUCGAUUACUCUUGUCACGAGGGUUUCCUCUGCCUGCAGUUUCGACUCUCCAUAGUUGGGCAGGAAAAUUAAAACUUAUUCCAGGUGUUUUAAAGCCAGUGCUGAGACUAUUGGAAAAUAGUGAAUAUUGCGAAAAAGAACGAGUUGCGACAAAAUUUUGAAACCGUCAAAGUUCGUCCAAGUGGGAAUGAUCCGUGGAUUAUACAAAAAUUGGAAACAAGUCAUCUACUACAAUUUUGAUACUGUUAUGACAUCAACUAUAACAUCGAACAUAAUCAUGGCACUCAAAAACAUUAAAUUUCACGUUGUUGCGAUUGUUUGUGAUAUGGGCCCCACCAACAUGGCUUUUUGGCGAGAGCUUCACAUCAGUUGCGAGAAACCCUAUUUCACCGUGGACGAUUUGAGAAUUUUCGCUUUCGCAGAUCCUCCACAUAUCAUGAAACUUAUUUGUAAUCAUUUCCUGGAUACUGAUUACUUUUUAGAUAGAGAUGAAAUGAGACACUGGAUUUCCUCCAAGCCGGUUGUCGAGUUGUUGAAACUCCAGCCAAAUGAACUGAAAAUUUGCCAUAAAAUCACAUCGACCCAUUUAGAUGUCAAAGAUGCUGCGCGUCAAAAAAUUAAAUACGCGGUACAGCUUUUAUCGAAUACUGUUUCACAAGGAAUCAGGAGAGCUAUGAGCCUAGGCGCGAUAACAUCACAAGAUGCUCUGAUAACCAGUGAUUUUAUAAAAAUAAUGAAUGACUGGUUUGAUUUAUUUUAUUCAUAAUCGGCAACGAAGGGUAUGAGAGAAAGACUAAGUGCAUUCGACUAUACAAACCAGUUCCAUCAAAUAAUCAUACCAAAGUCCAAUCAACUAAUUUCUGAUUUACGAGUUCCAAAUAAGCGCACCCUUCUACCAUUUCAAAAAGGUAUUCUAGUAAACAAUGCAGCAUUGGUUGGUUUGUCAGAAUGGCUUCAAACCACAUAUGGAAAUUCAUAUAUAUUAACGAGACGAUUACAACAAGAUGAUCUUGAACGCUUCUUUGGAACGAUUCGCUUGAGAGGUGGCUUACAUGACCACCCAACUGCAUUGGAAUUCACAUACAGAUUGAAAAACAGUAUAUAAGGUCGGUCUGAUGCAUCUCAGCAAGUUAACAGCAGUAACGUUGAGGAAUCAUAUGAAGAGUACGACAAAGAGCAAUUCACUGGUUCUUUGUUGCGAAAUAUUGCGAGCGAUGAAGUGGAAAAAACUGGAUCUGAAAGAAUACUGGAUUGCGACAAUUCAAUCGAUGUUGAUCCGGAACAAGAAGAUUUUUGAUCAUCAUGCAUUUCCGAGUUAGAACAGGAUGCGAUUGAGUAUAUUUCGGGAUAUAUUGUCAGAAAGCUCAAACUGCAGAUAUCAUCACCGGAUGAAUCCGUUUUCACUUGGGUAGAUCAAGUUUCCGAAGGAGGCUUGACAAAACCGGUCCGUGGUUUCACCGCCAGGAUAAUGUUAUUAGAUAACGUAUUCAAACAAGUUCAUGGCGAAACGUUUGACAUAGAGAAAAAAAGCCAUUGAAGCUUGUCUGAAUAUGUCUAAAGACCUACCAUACAAUGUUAAAAAACUGUUUUUCAGAACACGCUUGUAUAUUCGUAUCAGAAAUCUUAACCGAAAUAUUGUAAAUGUUACUAAAA